rnacentral:rRNA from 1 species
GACGAACGCUGGCGGCGUGCUUAACACAUGCAAGUCGAACGGAAAGGCCCUGCUUUUGUGGGUUGCUCGAUUGGCGAACGGGUGAGUAACACGUGAGUAACCUGCCCUUGACUUUGGGAUAACUUCAGGAAACUGGGGCUAAUACCGGAUAGGAGCUCCUGCUGCAUGGUGGGGGUUGGAAAGUUUCGGCGGUUGGGGAUGGACUCGCGGCUUAUCAGCUUGUUGGUGGGGUAGUGGCUUACCAAGGCUUUGACGGGUAGCCGGCCUGAGAGGGUGACCGGCCACAUUGGGACUGAGAUACGGCCCAGACUCCUACGGGAGGCAGCAGUGGGGAAUAUUGCACAAUGGGCGGAAGCCUGAUGCAGCAACGCCGCGUGCGGGAUGCCGGCCUUCGGGUUGUAAACCGCUUUCGCCUGUGACGAAGCGUGAGUGACGGUAAUGGGUAAAGAAGCACCGGCUAACUACGUG